CCUCCCCCUCGGUGGAUGGUGGGGUCCUUCCAGCCGGCGGGUGUGAAGACAGCUGGAGCUGGUCCGAGGCCAGGAUGCCCUGAGCUGGGCGUGCACAGCGCCUGCCGGGGCUGGCUGACUUCUGAAGUAGGACAGGAGAGAGGACGCCAUGCCACAGUGCACCUGCGCCCCUCAUCCCUGCGUGGCAGACUCAACUCGCGGGUGCGGAAGUAGGUCGCAGAAAUGGGGACAGCCUCGCUCACACGGAGCCCUGUACGCUCACUGAGUCACCGGCAGCCGGCAGCCAGGUCUCUCGGAGCAGUCCGUGUGCAGUUUCAGGACGCCAGGGACCCCAGGAAAACCCAGCCUCGGCAGAGGACAGCGAGGGGCACUGGACGGGCUGCUGGCUGCUACUCCAAGGGAAGUGGACACUUGGCUGUGACCACGCCUGGGCGGGCGAGGGCUCAGAAACCCGACUGUGCUCACUCAAGACAACUGACUUUGGAGCCACAGACUACGGGAUAUCAGCUGGGAAGCUGUGCCUUUCUUUCACCAGGGCCCAGAAAUGCUCCCUGGCCAGGAGGCAGGACGUGGAGUGCUUCUGACAGCCUGGGUUACUGACCAAGUUCUCCAACUCACGCCAUGUGGUCUUGGAUGAGCAACUCCCGGCCUCCUCUGUAAGCCCUGUUGGGAGGAGACAAGCUACGAAGACCCUCUGGCCUGGUCUGUCCAGUGAGUCCUCCCUUCUUUCCGCGUGGGAUUCUGGGAUCUUCCCUUUCCUCUGCUAAGUUUUUCAUUGUUAUUUAUUUAUUUGAAAAGUUUCUGUGGAGUGACUUCUGAAAGCAGGUUUGCUCUCAGCUUACAAGGGGCCAGAGCUCUGUCCAAGAGAGCUCUCUGAUCCAGCCAGCUGAUGUGUGGCGCUGGGCUCAGCCCUGGGGAGACUGUGGGGGUGACAGCCUGGCCGGCCUGCACUCCCUUCCGGCUGCCACCUCCUGUCCUCGGGCUGGAAGGAAUUGCUGAGUCUCAGCUUCUUCACUGAAGACUUGGGGACAAUGACAGGGUGGCCUGAGACUGCAGGAGGCUGCACCCAAAGCUGGACACGAGAGACUUGUCCUGACCCCGGCGCAGUCUCCCCUGGGGUGGUGAGUUGGAGCAGCGGCCUCUCCAAGCACAGGUGCCGGCAGCCUCCCUCUCCCUGUCCCUCGGAACAUCCUUGCCAGGCCGGCACCCAGGCGGGGUGUCCUCUGGGACAUGAACAGCUCCUUCCUGAGGUUCCAUGUGUGACCCCAGCCUUCCCUGCACAACCCCGAAACAAGCUAACAAGCCACACUUCUGGUAACUACAGUAAUGACAAUCCUGCCCCCAAAGGGCCUUUCUCCAGGGGGAGAUGGGACAGGGGUGGAGGAGCGGGCCAUGCAGAAGGCAAGCGAAGAGCCCCAGGUUUGUGAGCUAGUAGGGACCUCACCUUAGUCACAGCAGGAGGGCAAACCUUGCACAAGGCCCUGUGAGAGGCAGCGGUCUCCUCCUCAAAACGGUCCCCGGAGGAGGGUGCAGCUGUCCCCUGCCGACUCUGCCUAGGGCCGGCUUUAUUUAUUCUCUCCUUUUCAGAACCCGGAGGCUGGCGCAUCCCUCCUUGUUCUGGAUGAGGGACAGACCCAAGGCUGGAAGGCUGAGUGAUUUCCUAGGGAAGCUGCCCCUGAGUCCAUGCUCUGCUGGACACAAGGGAUACUCAGUGUCCCCAGCUCUACCUAGCUGGGUGAGAGCUGGAGGGUCCCCAACCUGACCUGGCCCAAAGUCCAGGUGGCCUUGCUCCAGAGCUCGGUCCCUAUGGGUGGAUAACCACACAGUCUCUAGGGUUGGUUUUCCAGUCCUGUCCUUGAUGUCAUCCAGCUAUGUGCAGGGACCAGGGUGUAAAUGCUCUGGGCCCCUGAGCACCCAUCUCACAGAUCGGGAACUGUGGGUACCUCGGUGCUGAGCGCCUUGGGGAUGUGGCCAUGAGCAGCAUGCUGUGGGUCACCCAGUCUUCUCUUGGGCCCCAUGGAAGCUGUGACAACGCGAGUUUGCUCUGAGGCAGCUCGUGGACAAGGCCACCUCGACCUGACCGGCUGUGCCCAGCAGCUGGGGCAGCCAAGGCUCGGGCUCCCCAGGCGCUCACCUGGGGCUCCUGCUGCAUGAGCGCCGUCUCCAGGUAAUUUGUUGUAAUCAGCCGGCUCUGCUGUGGUCCCCUGCUGCAGAGCUUUGAAAUACACAAAACUCACUUAAGGCAAAGGGAUGAUAACGGCCCAGCGCAGGAGAAAACCAGCUCCUUCAGAGUCCGAUCGGUCUUCAUCAGAAGCAGCCCAUUAAGGCAAGCGCGUGCCUGGCCCCAUGCAGGGCAUUUGCAUAUUUUCUAAGUUCUUAACAGAGAAAAAUCUGAAGGUGUCAGGAUGGAGAACUCAGGACCGCUCUUAUUCCCCGCAAGAUAAACGAGCAGAGUCAUCUUUAAUGAAGGGAGAGGUGAAGUGGGGGAAGAUGCCUUUGGUGCUGAGCCACUCCGUCCCCUCCCACAAGCCAGGAGCGGUUGGCCAGCAAGCAGGAGAGACAGAGGGAGAUGGGGGUCAGCCAGAGGUGUGCAUGUGGCUCCUUCUUUGCCUUCAUUCUUUUUUUUUUUUUUUUUUUUUUUUUUUUUUGGUACCAGGGACUAAACUCAGGAUCUUGUACAUGCCAGGCAGGUGCUUGUGCCACUGAGCUAAAUCCCCUUUGCCUUUCAAACUCUGCUGCUUCUUGUGUCCUGGACUUAGGCAUGUGGGGGUUGGCAGCUGACCUGGUGCUGAUUCGACAGUACGGUGGCCCCUGCCCUCUGCCAAGGAGCACCGAGGUCCCCCAGCCAGCCCUGCUCCAGCUCUGCCUUGGAAAUCAAUGGGACCCCCGCAGGCCACUGGGCUGUUGGUGGGGAGCAGAGGGCUCCCUGUUGCAGAGCUCCGAGUGAGCUUUGCAGAAGUUCCCAGAGUUGGAGGCAAGAUGCACAGAGCCAGGACUGUGCCUCCUCAUCCCAGGACUGAGCUGGGACACCCUGGGGUGAGGUCUGCAGUGAGGAAGGUGCGGCAGGGACAGAGACCUGUCACACAGCACUUGGGAGUGGUCCCCACCCUCCUGCAGCUGCCCUGGCUCACAGUUCCUGCUGCUUCCCUUCCACAGGCCGCCCUGGCUGUGCUGGCUGUGCUGGCUGUGCUGGCCACCAGAAGAUGAUCCUUACAAAGAAACCACUUCCUUUGGUUGUUUUUAAGCCCAGGUGAGGCUUCCCAGCCGGCAGCAUCUGAGCUUGGCUUGGAGAUUCCCAGCCAUGGGCUCCCAGGGGCCUCUAGGAGCCAUGAGUCCCCCAGCUGUUGGCCAGCAAGAAAGCGGGGACCCCCAGCUCUGCACAACAAAGAGCCGGUUCAUUCAACAUAGUGAGCUCUGGAAAGGGAUGUGGCCCGUCAGACAGCUGACAGCAGCUGGGCAGCUCCCGGGGCACAGCCAGCUCGGCCACGCUCUGACCCUUCUCCUACAGACGGGGAGGUGGAGUGGGUCCCCUGCACUGUGGGCAGCUGUGCGGGCAGCACAGAGGAGCCAGAGCUGGUGACUGAUGAGGGUGGGCUCUGUGUCCAUUCACCUAGCGCUACCACUGCUGUCCCCACUUUGCCAAGCGCGUCAGACUUUCGUGGCAUGCAUCUCGUCUGCAGGAGCACCUCCUUUCCUGCUCACGUCCAGCUGUGGAGUCCUCUCCUCCCUGCUCUGCCCCUGGAGACUGUGUUAGGAUGGGGUGGAGCCCUGGCCACCCUGGUGCCAGCCCAGGCUCCUGCAGUGUGGUGCAAACCUUGAGACAGGAUGAGUUUGUGAGCUUACUGAUGUCUUGUGCAUCUCAGUAGCCUCGUCACCCGUGGCCUGCGGUGUGGAGAAGGAGAAGCGCUCACCCGCAGUGGGAAGCCUAAUGGAACCCCAGACAAAGACAGCUGGACACUCAUCGAGCCAUGCCUGAAGCCGCUCACCUCUAGAUUUUCCUUACUGUGAUACGUCCAAGCAGAGGUUUCACCCUUGGCAACCCAAAGUCCCCCCAGUGAACUCUGUAGGAAGGGCAGCUGUGAUUCCCUUUCACAGCUGAGCACUGGUGUUUCAAAUCACAGAAGAGGCUGUCCUUGGUGGGCCUGACCUAAUCAAGUGACCCCACAAAGGAGAUGCAAAGCAGUGGGUCCCCUCCUGCUGUCCUAGAAGGAAGCACACUGCCCUACAGUGUGGGGACACCAGGCAGAGCGUGGGCCAGCCCCAGAGCUGAGGGCUUCAGGCCUACAGGACGGCUGCCUGCCACUGAGUUCAGCCCUAGAGGAGAUGGGAUCCCUGCGACAGCUUCAGCUGAGACCCUGAGCAGAGAGCUUACUGGAACCCAGAAUCCCGGCUCAGAAGAGAUGAAGUGACUGAUCAUGUGAGGCUCCUGAGACCUGGUAAUGUCUCCCUCAGAACAGAAGAACUCAGUAUGGAGGAACUCAUCUCUCCACAGACCAGGUCAGGGCCAAAGAUUAAAGUACCCAGAUCCGUAUAUCCAACCUAUCUUUAUCUAUACUUCUAUCUCUCUCUCCACUCUCCACCUCUCCAUCCAUCUUCCCAUUCACCCAUCCAUCCAUCUUCCAUCAGUUCAUCCAUUUAUCUUUUCAUCUACCCAUCCACUUCUCCGUAGGUCUCUCCAUCCAUCAUCCAUCUCUCCAUCCAUCCAUGUCUCCACACAUCCAUCCAUUUUCCAUCCAUCUAUCCAUCUAUCCAUCCGCCCAUCCAUCCAUCCAUUAGUCCAUCCAUCAUCUGACACCCAGCAUAAUAUCCCUUUUGAUUAAAUCAAGCUAAGUGACUUGGGACCUUCA